CCCUUAGAUGUUCUGGGCUGCACGCGCGCUACACUGACGCACCCAACGGGUUUACGACCUUGCCUGGAAAGGUUGGGUAAUCCUACAAAAAUGCGUCGUGGUGGGGACAGAUUACUGCAAUAACUAAUCUUCAACGAGGAAUUCCUAGUAAGCGCGAGUCAUCAACUCGUGUUGAUUACCUCCCUGCCCUUUGUACACACCGCCCGUCGCUCCUACCGAUUAAGUGAUCCGGUGAAUAGUUCGGACUGCUGCAAUGCUUGGAUCCCGAGAAUUGCGGCGAAAGUUUAGUGAACCUUAUCACUUAGAGGAAGGAGAAGUCGUAACA
rnacentral:rRNA from 1 species